UACGAAGGGUGCAAACGUUGCUCGGAAUUAUUGGGCGUAAAGCGCACGUAGGCGGCUCGGCAAGUCGGAUGUGAAAUCCCUCGGCUCAACCAAGGAAGUGCAUCCGAAACUGCGGAGCUUGAGUACUUAAGAGGAUCGCGGAAUUCCCGGUGUAGAGGUGAAAUUCGUAGAUAUCGGGAGGAACACCAGUGGCGAAGGCGGCCACCUGGACGGAUACUGACGCUGAGACGCGAAAAGCGUGGGUAGCAAACAGG
rnacentral:rRNA from 1 species